GAUUAAGGGUAAUAAUUAGAGUGCGGGUGCUCAUUGGCCCCAUCAUCCAACCAAAUUAUUUCUUCUUAUCUCUUUGCUGUCUCACUAGGACACGUUACAUCUUUACAUAUAACUUUGCCUACUAUUUACAAGAUUUUUCUUGAAAUAAAUAAAUACUAGCCUAACAAGACAAAGACUUUUCUAGCCUAACAAGACUAGCCUAAAAAUAUUUUUCUUGAAAUAAAUAAAUACUAGCCUAACAAGACAAAGACUUUUCUAGCCUAAAAAUACUACACUUUUCUUGAAAUAAAUACUAGCCUAACAUGACAAGCACUUUUCUUGAAAAAUACUAGCCUAAUAAGACUAAAAUAUAAGCCUAACAGGACUAAACUGAAAUACUACGUUUUUUGAAAAUUACAAGUCUUUUCACAAAAAAACUCUUUUAGUCUUCAUUUUGCUCUUUGUCUUCUUCUUCUUUGACUUUUUCCAUAGUAGGUGGAAGAUAAACUUUAGGAAUAUUUUCUUUUUGGUUGCAAUAAUUGCAAUGGUGCAAGUUGAAUAAGUCCUUCA
rnacentral:lncRNA from 1 species